UACGAAGGGGGCUAGCGUUGCUCGGAAUUACUGGGCGUAAAGCGCACGUAGGCGGAUCUUUAAGUCAGGGGUGAAAUCCUGGAGCUCAACUCCAGAACUGCCUUUGAUACUGAGGACCUUGAGUUCGGGAGAGGUGAGUGGAACUGCGAGUGUAGAGGUGAAAUUCGUAGAUAUUCGCAAGAACACCAGUGGCGAAGGCGGCUCACUGGCCCGGUACUGACGCUGAGGCACGAAAGCGUGGGGAGCAAACAGG
rnacentral:rRNA from 1 species